AGAACGAACGCUGGCGGCAGGCCUCAAACAUGCAAGUCUAGGGGGUGUAGCAAUACAUCACCGGCGGACGGGUGCGUAACACGUGGGAAUAUACCUUUUGGUUCGGAACAACGCAGGGAAACUUGCGCUAAUACCGAAUGUGCCCUUACGGGGAAAGAUUUAUCGCCAAAGGAUUAGCCCGCGUAGGAUUAGCUAGUUGGUGAGGUAAUGGCUCACCAAGGCUCCGAUCCUUAGCUGUUCUGAGAGGAAGAUCAGCCACACUGGGACUGAGACACGGCCCAGACUCCUACGGGAGGCAGCAGUUGGGAAUCUUGGACAAUGGGGGAAACCCUGAUCCAGCCAUGCCGCGUGAGUGAUGAAGGCCUUCGGGUUGUAAACUCUUUCGACGGGGACGAUAAUGACGGUACCCGUAGAAGAAGCUCCGGCUAACUUCGCGCCAGCAGCCGC
rnacentral:rRNA from 1 species